AUUGAACGCUGGCGGCAGGCUUAACACAUGCAAGUCGAGCGGAGUGAUGGUGCUUGCACCAUCACUUAGCGGCGGACGGGUGAGUAAUGCUUAGGAAUCUGCCUAUUAGUGGGGGACAACACCUCGAAAGGGAUGCUAAUACCGCAUACGUCCUACGGGAGAAAGCAGGGGAUCACUUGUGACCUUGCGCUAAUAGAUGAGCCUAAGUCGGAUUAGCUAGUUGGUGGGGUAAAGGCCUACCAAGGCGACGAUCUGUAGCGGGUCUGAGAGGAUGAUCCGCCACACUGGGACUGAGACACGGCCCAGACUCCUACGGGAGGCAGCAGUGGGGAAUAUUGGACAAUGGGGGGAACCCUGAUCCAGCCAUGCCGCGUGUGUGGAGAAGGCCUUAUGGUUGUAAAGCACUUUAAGCGAGGAGGAGGCUUACCUAGUUAAUACCUGUGAUAAGUGGACGUUACUCGCAGAAUAAGCACCGGCUAACUCUGUGCCAGCCGCCGCCGUAA
rnacentral:rRNA from 1 species